UUUCUUCUCGUCUGUCGCCAUGUGAGAUGUACCUUUCACUUUCCUCCAUGAUUGUGAGGCCUCCUUAGCCACAUGGAACUGAAAUGCUGGAGUCCUUCAUCCGAAUGGUAAAUGGCACUUGUGACAAAAAUCAAAGUAACUAAAAAAGAAUCUGGUUGAAACCUCAGUAACAGUUGGCCUGUCUACUGCCUCACACUAACAAGUGACCCCCACCUUUACAAGUGUCUGUAAUUCUCACUAGCAGUAUAUUAGAGGGCAAAAGAUUUGAACAGACACAUCAGAAAAGAAGACAUACAAAUGGCCGCUAAGCACUUGAAAGGAUUCUGAACACCAUUAGUCAUCAGUGAAAUGCAAAUUAAAGCCAUAAUGAAUGGCGCUAUACAUUUUCAGAAUGGCAAGGAUUGAAGACCGAAAAAAAUCAAGCGUUGAGGAGAGUGACAAAUGGGGAGACAGCCGUGGUGCAUGAUCGCCGAAUAAAUACCAUGUGAGGAUACAGCAAGAAGGUGGCCAUCUACAAGCCAAGGAGACAGGCCUCAGAAGAAACCAACCCUUCUUACACCCUGGACUCAGACUUCUAAUCUCCAGAACUUGUUAAUGCACAAGGUCUUGUGUUGAAAAUGUAGAGCCACGAGAUAAAAGCAGCUUGGAUGGCUGACUCAUAUACAAGGACAACUGCCUGAGAGUCACCAGGGCUAUCAAGAAGUUUGCAGAAACAAGAAAUAAACUUUUACUGUUUUAAACUUUUGUGAAUUUUGGGUUUUGUUUAUCACCAAAUAAACCUAGUCUAUUCUGAUUGUUAUAAGUGGUUAAUUUGGGAAGUCAGAUAUAUUUAAAAUUGGCUUACUGCUGUAACAUAUACAGUCCAAAUUACAUAAUGGCUCAAAUGCAAUAGAAGUCUUUUUUUUUUUUGCUCACAUAUCACUUCACUGAGAUUCUGCAUUAAUUGUAAUGAUGAGGGUGAGGGUGUCUUAUAUCAUACAGUUGUUCAGCAACCCAGGAUGACCAACUUUGUAAUAUUUUUUCCCACUGGCUUCUAAAGUUCUCAUAGAUAGUAAAAUUCAUUUGGAAGAAGGAGAAACAGCAUGGAGGAUUGCAGAUGGAGAUUUUUAUGGGAAGGCUUGGAGGUUUGGAGGUUACACAUUACUACUUUUACUUGUUGGCUAGGAAACUAUCACGUGGUCACACCUAAGUGCCAGUGAGUCUGACAAUGUGGCAAUUUGGUUGCGGGCCAGGGGUAAGAGGCAAUAAAUUUUGCUCAAUAAUUAUCAGUUUUUGCCACAGAUGGAGGGACUUUUCAUUGUAUAACUAGUUGUUACUGUUUGAAUUUAAAACAGGAAAAUAUCAUUUUCAAAUAAAAACACAAAAGUGGCACAAAAAA
rnacentral:lncRNA from 1 species